ensembl:lncRNA
AUGGAGCUGUGCACCGUAGAGCAGAAGGGUUCCACGGAUGGGACCGGGGCUUCCAGGCAGGGCUCUGGCUCCCAGGCCUCCAGGCCACAAGCUUCAAGCCGGCUGCUUCCAGGCCCAGGGCUUCUGGCCGGGCAGCCUCCCUGGAUGUUGUCUCCUCAGGGCAGCCAGGGCCUCAUCAGACACACGAGGUCACAGCCCUUCUCUGUGCUUCCGCUGCCACCCGCUGAUCUCAGCUGUUAUCUUGACACAGAAGAAAGUCAAACUGCAGCCUGUCCCAGCUUAUCUCUGGGUUAUUUCCGCAAAGAUCCACGCUUGGCUGGACACACUUGCCCCAGGUGGCAGCACCUCCCCUCGUGGGCACUUACCUUGGGGAACUCCGGGCGUGAGUGUGCGAGAGGCAGGAACAGACGUCCAUGGCAGCUUUCAUCCUCAUGGCGCAAACAGGACCCCUGCCCUCAACAAUGGAGCCGUGAAGGAGCGGCAGCCGUGGACCUGGAGCAGGCACAGCGAGCGAGGGUGCGAGGCCCGGACAGCUCUGAGCGGCCUGCGGUGUCCAGCUCGAGACAGUGGUUCCUUUCUGGAAGCGGGAUGGGGCUGGGGAAGCCGGGCUGCUGGGGUUCUGGGACAUUGCGUUUCCUGCUCUGGGCAGGGGUUUGUUCCGCGGAUGUGCCGCUUCCUGAAAGUUCAUCCACCUGGAGACAGACGCAGGUGCAGCACGUCCAUCCCAGCAACGCUUCUUGGGGGAAAAUUAAAGCCAAGGCUGCCGUGAAUUUCCGUAAUCAACGAGGGUGUAGUCGGUGCCGUGGACUUUCGAUGUCACACUCUGGAUGGUAUUUGAAAGAAAAAUUUAAAAAAAAUCAAACCUAACAAUCUAAAAAUUUAAUAAACAGAAACUCCUCAUGAGAUGAUGUUUAUUUUUUAAUUUUUAAAAACUCAUUUUAAAUUCAGGGCUACGUGUGCAGGAUGUGCAGGUUUGUUGCGGAGGUUAAUGUGUCCCAUGGGGGUUUGUGUGCAGAUUAUUUCAGAUUAUUUCAUCACCUGGGUAUGAAGCCUAGUACCCAUUAAUUAUUUUUCCUGACUCUCUCCCUCCUCCCACCCUUCACCCUCCGACAGGCCCAGUAUCUGAUGUUCCCUCUAUGUGCCCAGGUGUUCUCAGCAUUUAACUCCCACUUAUAAGUGAGAACAUGCAGUAUCUGGUUUUCUGCUCCUGUGUUAGUUUGCCAAAGAUAAUGGCCUCCAGCUCCAUCCAUGUUCCUGCAAAGGACAUGAUCUCAUUCCUUUUCAUGGCUGUAUAAUAUUCCAUGGUGUCUAUGUGCCACAUUUUCUUUAUCCGGUCUACCAUUCAUGGGCACAUAGGUUGAUAUCAUGUCUUUGCUGUUGUGACUAGUGCUGUGAGGGACGUAGCGUGCAGACGAGACACGAUGUUCAGUAAAAAUCAUUCACAGAGUUGAAUCUCACGUCGUGAGUGAGUGUUUCACACACAGAUAUUUAUAAAUCACAGGACUGGGAGAAAACCAAAAACAGCGUUUUUCUCCAGGAGGUGUCGCAAAUGCUCCCAUUUCCUUUGCUGAGCUUGUGAUAAGUUGCUUUUGCAAUAAGUUGUUUCUGUAAACAUGAAGGCACUACACUGUUUCCGACUGUGGACCCCAAAGCACCCUCCUCAGGCCUGUGUGGGCAAGGUGGGUGGAAACCUGUUCUGCACAGACCCACAGCCGUGACCCCUCCAUGUGCUCAUCAGGGACAAAGGUAACUUUUCACUACGUGCCCCAGGUGGCCUCUCCGGCCUUAAGGGAGGACAUCAUUCUGGCCACCCUGGCCUUUCUGACGAGUCUCAAAUGCAACCCAGAACAGGCAGAAGGCCGGGGUAGUUCACCUGCCCCCGAGCUGCCCGGAUUUCAGAAGGGAGCUUCACUCCCUGACCCCCAUCAGCAAGACAGCGGGGGUCUCCUGCAGUCCCUGGAGCCAGGAAGAGAGGGGCAGAGGUGGUGGGGACGAACCUGCCCCGGGGACGUCUCUGGGGCCUCCAGGCUGCAGGGCGUCAGAUACUGAUGAGGGCUCAAAAGGCAUCAGGCAGGUUCUGGGGGCUCACCAGUAAACAGAGGCAACCAAGAUUCCUACCUGGUCUCUCUUAUGUCUAAGUAGGGAAGAGAGAGCAUGAGCCCUUAGCCCAACAGCUAAACAAACUGGACAGCCUGUUAGAGGAGAUCCUGCUAUGCAAAGGAAAGGCAGGGAGAGGCGUGGAGCGGGGUGUGGGAGUGGGGUGUGGAGUGGGGCGUGGAGUGGGGAAUGGGAGUGGGGUGUGGAGUGGGGCGUGGAGUGGGGCAUGGGAGUGGGGCGUGGNNNNNNNNNNNNNNNNNNNNNNNNNNNNNNNNNNNNNNNNNNNNNNNNNNNNNNNNNNNNNNNNNNNNNNNNNNNNNNNNNNNNNNNNNNNNNNNNNNNNUACCCACCCAACUAUCCAUCCAUCCAUCCGUCUAUCCAUCAUUCCAUUCAUCCCUCCAUCCAUCCACCUAUCCACCCACCCACCUAUCUAUCCAUCCACCCAUCUAUCCAUUAUUCCAUUCACCCAUACAUCCAUCUACCCACCCACCCACUCAUCUGUCCAUCCAUCCAUCCAUCGAUUCACCCACUCUAUAUAAUCACCCAUCCAUCCAUCCACCUACCCACCUAUCUACUCAUCCAUCCACCCAUCCAUCUACCCCUCUACCCAUCUAUCCAUCUAUUCAUCCAUCCACCCAUUCAUCCAUCUACCCAUCCACCAAUCCAUCCAUUCAUGGUACAGGGACGUGCAGAGAAUGAGAUACCUUAUGUGGCUGGUGACACAAAGGGAAACCCCCCAAAGUAGCUGUCCUGAGACACCUGCCAUCAGGAGGGAAGUGAGAGGCACUGAAGGGGUGUGUGGGGAACCCAGGGAAGGUCAGUUGUGGGGUGGGCAGUACAGGGAGAGGAGGCAUGGGGGAAGCACCUGCCCAUCAAGUUGAUGCCAGGUGUUCAGAGCAAUUAAGAAGAGCCAGAAGGUGUUCAGGCAGGGGGACCCCCAGGGUGCUGGCAUCAGGGAAUAAAUGACACAGAUUUGCAGAGAGAGGCUGUGGUCAGUCCUGCCUCCAGCUUCCUGGCCAGCCCUGCCUGCCCAGACAUCUGAGUCAAAGUAGCCUCUGUCUUCUGUUGUUAUUUUCAGCAUUGUGCCUGCCACUUACGGUCCAGAAAGUGAUGAUGACAAGAACUGAAAUAACCUUCUUGAUCCAGGUGCUUCCUUCUUUCUCCACAAAGGCCUCCCUCAACCUAGAAGGCUCCAUGGCUCCUUAUGGCCAAGCAAAACCCUGAGUGGUUGCAGGGCUCUUGGUAGCGCCUGCCUACUCCACACACACACAAUCUUAGUCCCAUCCUCCCUGCUACAAAUUCCUUCAAGUUUCAUACUCAGGAAAUGCAGCUGGGGAUGGGCACGUCUGGGUACCAGGUGCUUUCAGAAGGGCAGGUGUAGUCAGGGAGCAAUUUAUGACAGAAACAGAACUUUCGGUCAAAAAUGUCCUGUGCAUGGUGACUGAGCACCACCUUGGGGACAAACUGCCAGUGAGCUGAGCCCUCCAGCAUACACACUGGCAGCGGGGGAUGCGGGCUCCACAUAGACAGCUGGGUCCACCUGCAUCAGCACCACCCCAGAAAGCUCCGUCCUGGCCUUGCGGUCGGCCCUCACCCAGGGGUAAUGCUGGCCUGGCCUGCCCCAGGCAUGCUUUGCCUGCUCCAGAACCCCACAGAACAAGGCCCCCACCUUCCUGUCUCCUCGCCCACCGUGGUCCUGAUGUUGUGUCCACAGCUCUGUCCACAGCCCCUGCCCCUGGUGCCGAGCAGCACUCCAUGGCACACACAUGCCACAGCUGCCAGUCAUGCUCCUGAGCCUGGAUGCUGUGUCAUCUCCAGUUUGGGGCAAUUAAAAU